UUAACUAUACUUAUUUAUGUGGGUUUGUUUUGUUUAUUUAUGUAACCCCAAGGUUUUUCAUAGUCUGUUUAGAAACCUUGAUACAAUGUAUUUUGUAUUAAGUAUAUGUUUUGUGAUGUAAACUGGUAAAACUAUUAACAAAUACACACAAUAUACGAUUAAUCCCACCCAGUCAGUAGCCCUUUUAAACGGCUUACAAAAUGUCUGAGCCAGCAAGUGAUAGCCCAAAGACAAAGACAAAAAGAACUACAAGAUAUACGUGAAGUAACUAUACAAGAAAAAUUUAAUGACGAGUUAGGCAAUUAAUCAGAUUAGUGUGCAGUUACAAAUAUUUUAAUAGACAUUGUCUCACCAUCUGCACAGGUGACCAUAAGGGUACGAUUAGUAUGACCCAGGAUAGAUGAAUGCAAAUCGAAAACCAUCCAACAAAGGAAAAAUUGGGAUUUUGAAAGAGACAUAAAGAAGCCUAAAACAGAUACGAUCUACAACACAUAAAUGAUCUUUGAGCACAGAAAUGCGUGCUUAUUUUAAAUGUUGUGUGGUCUCGUAGCGUUGGCGAAAAUUGGAAUAUCCAAACAAUGAGCUGAGGCAGAAAACACGUGUUUCACAGUGUUGUUUCCAACAUCAGAAUUUUCCCCCAUAAAUCCCUGAAUGUGUGGCCUAUUCAAUCAGGUAUGAGAAAAAGAAUGAAAACUUCUCUGGAAGAUUUACCUCCGCUUGGGAAUAUACUACGUGUGACACUGAUCUUGAUAUUCCUGGUCUUUGUGUCACAAAUCGAUGUCAAUUGAUGUUUAUCAAUGUGAAUAUUGCUUCCAAAGUUCAAGGACUACACAGGGGACUGAAUUGUAGCAUUACGUCCUUACCAUUUAUCGUUUUAUUUAUGACAAAAUAAAUAAUAAAAUAAAUACAUUUUAACUCAUAACGGUAAUCACAAUCACAACUAAUGAUGUAGAAGUAUAUAUAUUUUCUCUCUGAUCUGUAAUAUUUUAUUGA